rnacentral:rRNA from 1 species
GUGUCAGCAGCCGCGGUAAAACCAGCACCUCAAGUGGUCAGGAGGAUUAUUGGGCCUAAAGCAUCCGUAGCUUGCUCUGUAAGUUUCCGGUUAAAUCCAUUAGCUCAACUAAUGGCCUGCCGAAAAUACUGUAGAGCUAGGAAGUGGGAGAGGUAGACGGUACUCGGUAGGAAGGGGUAAAAUCCUUUGAUCUAUUGAUGACCACCUGUGGCGAAGGCGGUCUACCAGAACACGUUCGACAGUGAGGGAUGAAAGCUGGGGGAGCAAACCGGAUUAGAUACCCGGGUAGUCCCAGCUGUAAACGAUGCAGACUCGGUGAUGCGCUGGCUUGUGGCCAGUGCAGUGCCGCAGGGAAGCCGUUAAGUUUGCCGCCUGGGAAGUACGUACGCAAGUAUGAAACUUAAAGGAAUUGGCGGGGGAGCACCACAAGGGGUGAAGCCUGCGGUUCAAUUGGAGUCAACGCCAGAAAUCUUACCCGGAGAGACAGCAGAAUGAAGGUCAAGCUGAAGACUUUACCAGACAAGCUGAGAGGUGGUGCAUGGCCGUCGCCAGCUCGUGCCGUGAGAUGUCCUGUUAAGUCAGGUAACGAGCGAGAUCCCUGCCUCUAGUUGCCACCAUUACUCUCAGGAGUAGUGGGGCGAAUUAGCGGGACCGCCGUAGUUAAUACGGAGGAAGGAAGGGGCCACGGCAGGUCAGUAUGCCCCGAAACUCUGGGGCCACACGCGGGCUGCAAUGGUAGUGACAAUGAGUUCCUAAACCGAAARGKGGAGGUAAUCUUCAAACGCUACCACAGUUAUGAUUGAGGGCUGCAACUCGCCCUCAUGAAUAUGGAAUCCCUAGUAACUGCGUGUCAUUAUCGCGCGGUGAAUACGUCCCUGCUCCUUGCACACACCGCCCGUC